AUGGACUGGGGCCAAGACACGUGCUGGUUCUCACAAGGCCCAGGACAAGCUAGAGUGUGGUGCUCCGUGUUCCGAAGUCCUGCUCCCUGUGAGGAUUUUAUCUAUAGCAGAGAGAAAAAGAAGAAAUCCUCUUCAUACACUGUACAGCUUCACUGAAAGUAGCCAGCAGGGAGAUUGGCCUAUAAAUACUAUGAGCACAUUAAGGUAAGUACAUUUUUAAAAAGUUAUGUCUUCUGGCUAUGAUUUAAUGUGAUGAUUGGUGGAAGUGGAAUUGAAGAGUGACAGGAAAAUAUUAAUGUCCUUUGGCCUUAGAAAGAGCAGUGGGCUAUAUCUGUUCCCAGAGGGAAAGUUUGAUGACUAAUGAUCUUAAUAUACACUUUAAACAUUCUGACAGUGAUGCAAUGGGUGCUGCUUUUACUCUUAGGAUAGCAGAUUCUCCUAUGCUCUGGUGGGGUCUCCUACUUC
rnacentral:lncRNA from 1 species